rnacentral:rRNA from 1 species
GACAGAGGUGCCGAGCGUUAGGCGGAAUCACUGGGCUUAAAGCGCGCGCAGGCGGCCCGCGAGGUGUCACGUGAAAGCCCCGGGCUCAACCCGGGAGGGUCGUGGCAAACCGGCGGGCUUGAGGCCGGUAGAGGUGGGUGGAACUCCUGGUGGAGUGGUGAAAUGCGUAGAGAUCAGGAAGAACACCCGUGGCGAAGGCGGCCCACUGGGCCGGUACUGACGCUGAGACGCGAAAGCGUGGGGAGCGAACAGG